AGAGGGAUUUUAUUGAUAUUGGACGAAUUGCAUCCAAUGAAAAUAAUCAUAAACCUGUGGAUAUUGCAAAGAAAGGGCAGAAGGUUGCAAUUAAGAUAGUUGGCACCAAUCCUGAGGAGUAGCAAAAGAUGUUUGGUAGGCACUUUGAGCUUGAGGAUGAACUUGUCAGCCACAUCUCGAGGAAGCCAAUUGAUGUACUUAAAGCUAAUUAUAGGGAUGAUCUGUCUGUUGAGGAGUGGAAGUUGGUUGUGACAUUGAAGAGACUUUUCAAGAUACAAUGAUGAGGCAACUUUGAUUAGCUUUCCAAGAACAAAGGAGCUUCAUCGAGACUGCUCUGUUACAAACAAUGAUGCAGAAGGAAUGUGGUGGAGAAGAAGCUUUUGUCUAUCAUUUGGCCACUUGGUUUGAC